GCAACUGAUGGAACCCAAAAGCAGGCUGAGGAAGCUGUUAAUCCACCAGUUGCAAUAGUACAGACUGAUCAGAUUUCAAGCAAGGUUGAUGAUCAAACUAAUGUAGAGUUGAAUGAGCAAGUGAUUCCUGCAAGUCAUUUGAGUGAAACAACUACCAGUAGUGAUCAAAUGGCUAGCAUGGGUACUAGAGGAAAAGGAAUCAUGGAAGUUAUGGGAAGAAGAGGGCAACUAUUUGAUCCUGGGCCUUCUUAUAGUUUGCCAAAUAUUGAUCCAUGAUAGCAGUCACAUGGAACAUUAGGGGACUUAACCAGUCCUCAAAGCAUAAGGAAUUGAAGCAAUUCCUUAAUGAUAAUAAAGUUG
rnacentral:lncRNA from 1 species